rnacentral:lncRNA from 1 species
GCGCUCAAGCUACGUUCAUGGUCGUCGCGCGUGCACAUGAAACACGCCCCCCUAUCGGUUUGGCUCAUCGGCAGAAAUAUUCAUAUCGGCCGAUGCCGAUGAUGGUCAUUUUAAGCUUUUAUCGACCGAUACCGAUGUUGUGCCGAUAUUAUCGUGCAUCCCUAGAAAACAACUUCGUCGAUUUCACAUCACGUACGCUGCAAAUAUUCACAGCACGAGCAAAUAGGGAAACGAACUGCAAACUGCGAAAACACAACGGAAAUGUUUCCAGGGGGGGCCAUAAUCAGUGACGGACCCACAUCCAUCCGGUUGUCUUCGCGCUUCUGAAUGUGCGCUUUUGUUGCUUAUGGCUACAAGACAUUGAAAUGUUCUGUCCGUUUUGUGCUGUGCAACUGGGGGACGCUCCCAAGUUUUGCCCGUCGUGUGGUAUGAACGUGGGGUUCCUUACGGAGCGUCCAUCCACGUCAUCAAGCGUAGGCCAUGGGCCUACAGAGGAUGACCUAAUACGUGCCUACUUCAGAAAGGACCACUCCAAUGAGAUUAUUAGAGAUUUUUUGGAGUCAAAGCAUGGGAUUGUUAUGAGCCUGAAAACUCUAAAAAGAAGGCUGAAACGGUUAAACCUAAGUCGGAGAGCAAAUUACACUCCACUGGAGACUUUGAAUGCUGCCAUCACUACUGAAUUGAAUGGCUCAGGACAGCUGUUGGGCUACAGGGCUAUGUGGCAGACCCUGCGACAGAAGCAUUCACUAACAGUAAAACGAGACAAUGUCAUGCAAGCCCUCAGAUUAUUAAAUCCAACAGGAGUAUCUCUCCGUCAUAGGCGCAGAUUUGUUAGGCUAUCCUAUUGCGCCGCAGGACCCAAUCAGGUGUGGCACGUGGAUGGCUAUGACAAGCUCAAGCCCUUUGGGAUUGCCAUCAGUGGCUGCAUCGAUGGGUAUUCAAGGCGGGUUAUGUGGCUAAGUAGUGGUAGCACCAACAACGACCCUGCAGUAAUCGCUCAACAUUACCUGCAGUGUGUUUCGAGCUAUGGCCUUCCGGCUCGUCUUCGGACAGACUGUGGGACAGAAAAUGGAGACAUGGCUGCCAUCCACUGUUCUUUAAGAGAGGACCACACCGAUGAAUUUGCAGGUUCUGUCAGCCACAUGUAUGGCACUUCAACUGCCAAUCAAAGGAUUGAAAGCUGGUGGUCCUUUUUCAGGAAACAGAGGUAUGUUUUUAGAUGUUAUAGAGGGUGUGAAAUAGAAGACUUACACACAUAUACACACACAUACAUAUUUUUCAAUACUGUUUGA